rnacentral:lncRNA from 1 species
GUUGGAGAACAUCAAUAAUAAUAGCUCUUACAGCAAGAACAAACUGGAUUUGUUGAUGGAUUAUUAUGAUACAAGUAUGAUCAUGACCAUGGACACUUUUUGAACAUUUUUGAAGACCACUUAAAGGAGUGCACAAGCCCAAGUGUAAAGGAGGCCCAAAGCCAUCCUUUUGGUACACUUAAGGUGGUUUUUGGAGCCCAUCUAUGGGAGGGCUCUUUUGUCAUUUCUCUAUUUGUUUGUAAUGUUGUAUAAAUAGAACAAUGUAGGUUUUAUUUACUUAGUUUAUGUUUGAGAUUGUAAGAACACUCAUUUUGUGAGAGAGAGCUCCAAAAUCGAAAUUAGGGCAUAGCAUAAGGGUGGAUUCUCUUGUGUGUUGCAAAGCUUGAUACCUUGGUGCUUGAGAGAUGGACGCCCUCUUGUGUCAUUGUAAAAGUUAGGUGCAUGUUGAGUGUGGUGUUAAGGGUCCAAGAGUUACCAUUCUUAGGUUCUUAAGAUUACAACUUCAUUGUGUCUAACUAUCUAUCUUUGUUUCUUGUUCUAGUUUCGGGUUUCAUUUGUAUUGUUGUAAAACCCGUAGGUUCUAGUUGUUGUGGCCUUGUUGUUCUUCACUGUAUUGUGCUAUUAUAACUUGUUGGUUGGCUGUUUUGAGGUGUUAACACUCGUUGUUCUCUCUAUUCUUGUUAUAAGUAGCGAAUCCGAUAGUGGUCACCAAAAUAGUCUCGGGUUUCCUCAACUUGAGGACUCGAGUUUGAUUUCAUUCCUACGAAGUCAAUCUUGGGUUUGUUACUUAGAAAAUCAAAAAACAAAAAAAUCCAGAAAAGUUGAAAUCUGUCCAUCUUGUUCUUGGCCUAGAUUUGUGUUUGUGUCUAGAUCUUGGACGUAAUUUGUUUUUUUGGAGUGUUUCAAGUGUUGGUUUCUUUCUCACCAACACUAAAAGUGUCCAAAUCUAAGCUUGAACUUGAAGUUGUUGAUGUGAACAGGGGGUGGCCAUGGUUGGUGUUGUUGUUCUAGCCUUGGCCUUGUUGUUGUGGAUUUGUUGAGUUCUUGGAGAAUUGUUGUUGGAUGUUCUUGAUGUUGUUGUUUUGUUCUUGGAGUUCUUCACCACAUUCAUCAUCUUGUUAAGUUUUAAAUUGCAAAAUAGAUCUAAAAAGGUAAAAGACAAAUUUGUAGUACUUGUUGGUGAAUGUCUUGUUCACAUCACUUCAAAGACAUUAACAACCAUUUACCAACAACUUUCCAUGAUUCAAGGACCCAUGUUAUAAGGAGGAAUAUAAGAAAGUCCAAGUCUUGUUUUGAAUUUGAAAAAGAAGCUCCAAGACUACAAUUACCUUCAUUAACCAAAUCCACCAAGUCCAAAUUGUGAAAUGGUCAAGACUUAUGGCAAGUAAAUUUUUGACAAACCCGAGGCCAAUAGUGUACUGCCACGUCGUCAAAUCACUGUUUACACGACCAUUUUAAGCUCAAAAUCUGAUCUUCUAGUUUCGUUUUUGUUGUUUCUUUUGUUGAUUCCAUUACUAACUUACAAGCUAGUACUAGAUUAUAAGUUAGAUUAGUAGUCGUUCUUCGUGUUUAUGAUCUUCAUGUGUCCUUUUGUUAUUGUUUCCUUGAGUCGUUGUAGAGGUUUGGUUCACCUCUCAAGCACGGAAUACAAUCAAGCUUGCCACACUUGUGUGAUUGAGUGAAGAAACCUGAGAGGCAAGAAAAAAAAACUAACGAGAGAGUGUGAGGACCUUUAUUUUACAACUAACUCGUUUAUUGUUCUGCAGGUGUUUUUCUUAGGUACAUUGUGAUGGAGGGAACGACCUCCCAAACCGUGGGCAACAAUGAUACCAAUAUCCUCAUAGCUUCUAUUGAAGGCCUCAACCGCACUUUGGAAAGAAUGCAAGUGAGUUUUGGGAAGUUAGAAACGGAUGUAACAUUGUUGAAAGGAGAUAUAUCUACUAUGAGUGGGAGAUUGGAACGAGUAGAAAGCCAAAGGAGCCGCCCCUCUACUCCUCAAUACUAUUAUCUGUCCUCGAGUGGACAUGAUCAAAACAAUUUUCCUACCAUCUCCCCCGAAAUGUUACACCAAAUGAUCAAUCCACCGAGACAACCACCAAAUGCUUCCCAAAACCGAGAGUUUGAUAGACCAACCUACCCUCCACUUCACCAAGUCCAACAAGAAACACUUGGAACCCAAAUACCAACACCAAACCCAAACCCUCCACUUAACCAAAGGCCUCACAUUCCAAUUCAAGCUCCAUUAGACCAAAGAACUUAUUUUCCACCCAAUCCAAACCCACCUAACCCGAACCAACCAAACCGUGUGGAAGGAUAUGGUGGGGAAGAAUAACAUGGAGGUUAUGGAGUCUAUGCUAAUGCUUACUUGAGGGAAGAAAGAAUGAGGGGUAGACAUGGGGAGCUAGGCCGAGAGGUGAGGGAAGGCCACCAAAACCGAGACUUGGGCAUUACUCCAUCAAAGUUAGUCUCCCAAUCUUUAAGGGUGAGAGUGAUCCCGAAGCGUAUCUUGCUUGGGAGUCUUCGUGUGACAAGAUAUUCCAACUCAAUGACCUCACCGAGGAAAAGAAGAGUUGUUAUGCGAUAGCUCAUUUUGAGAGGUAGGCUAAUACUUGGUGGGAGUAUGUUAAGCGGUUCGAGAAUGAGGUGAUCGGGGGACAACCUCCUCCUUGGUUUCGGUUGAAGAACCUUAUGCGGCAAAGGUACUUGCCCGAGACUUAUAGGCAUGAGCUCCUUGCCAAAUUGUACAAUUUGAGGCAAGGAAGCAAAAGUGUCAUGGCUUACUAUGAUGAAUUUCAACAAUUGAUGUUGAAACUUGACCACCGGGAAGAGCAAGUAAUUCAUGACAUUGUGCGCUUCAAGGUUGGGUUAAACAAGGACAUCUCCACUCGCAUGACGCUUCACAAAUUUGACACCAUAGAAGGCAUCUUCCAAGCGGCUUUAGAGAUGGAGAGGGAGCUUAAAGAGAACUCUUUCGUCGCUGCCCAGCCCGAGAUCCCCAAGGCUGUCCAAAAACAUCCUCCAAGGUAUAAAGGUAAAUUGAAUUUUACUUCCAAUCCCAAGGGGUUUCAAUGCUUCAAGUGUCAAGGGUGGGGGCACAAGGCUAGUGAGUGUCCAAAUCGGAGGAAUGUGAUCCUAAGGGAGGGGAAGUUAUACUACCUAGGAGAGGAAGUGGUGAUUGAAUCUGCUAAGGUUGAUGGCAAGCCUUAAGAUGGAGAGCACGAAGAGGUUGGGAUUCAAGUUGAGGAGGAAGUAGAAGAUGUGUGGCCGUGUGAGAUACCUCUCAAAAAGAGGUGAGGUCGUGAAUUUGUGGGCAAAUUCCUCUCAAGAUAGAGAGGAUGAUACAAGUAUGAUCAUGACCAUGGACACUUUUUGAGCAUUUUUGAAGACCACUUAAAGGAGUGCACAAGCCCAAGUGUAAAGGAGGCCCAAAGCCAUCCUUUUGGUACACUUAAGGGGGUUUUUGGAGCCCAUUUAUGGGAGGGAUGUUUUGUCAUUUCUCUAUUUGUUUGUAAUAUUGUAUAAAUAGAACAAUGUAGGUUUUAUUGCUUGAGAGGUGGAUGCCCUCUUGUGUCAUUGUAAGAGUUAGGUGCGUGUUGAGUAUGGUGUUAAGGGUCCAAGAGUUACCAUUCUUGGGUUCUUAAGAUUACAACUUUAUUGUGUCUAACUAUCUAUCUUUGUUUCUUGUUCUAGUUUCGGGUUUCUCUUGUAUUGUUGUAAAACCCGUAGGUUCUAGUUGUUGUGGCCUUGUUGUUCUUCAUUGUAUUGUGCUAAUAUAACUUGUUGGUUGGCUGUUUUGAGGUGCUAACACUCGUUCUAUCUAUUCUUGUUAUAAGUAGCGAAUCCGAGAGUGGUCACCAAAAUAGUCUCGGGUUUCCUCAACUUGUGGACUAUUUUGAAGUAUAUUUUCUUGUGUUCUUGGUCAUCCUUGUAUCAUAUUGGCUGCUCCUUCCCCAGAUUCCAACAUGCACAGGGCUUGGAACAUGUGUAACAACAUGGUGCUGUCAUGGAUAUUAAACUCCC